rnacentral:rRNA from 1 species
GAUGAACGCUGGCGGCGUGCUUAACACAUGCAAGUCGAACGGAAAGGCUCCUGCUUGCAGGGGUACUCGAGUGGCGAACGGGUGAGUAACACGUGGGUGAUCUGCCCUGCACUUCGGGAUAAGCCUGGGAAACUGGGUCUAAUACCGGAUAGGACGAUGGUUUGGAUGCCAUUGUGGAAAGUUUUUUCGGUGUGGGAUGAGCUCGCGGCCUAUCAGCUUGUUGGUGGGGUAAUGGCCUACCAAGGCGUCGACGGGUAGCCGGCCUGAGAGGGUGUACGGCCACAUUGGGACUGAGAUACGGCCCAGACUCCUACGGGAGGCAGCAGUGGGGAAUAUUGCACAAUGGGCGCAAGCCUGAUGCAGCGACGCCGCGUGGGGGAUGACGGCCUUCGGGUUGUAAACUCCUUUCGCUAGGGACGAAGCGCAAGUGACGGUACCUGGAGAAGAAGCACGGGCUAACUACGUG